rnacentral:rRNA from 1 species
CCCUUAGAUGUUCUGGGCCGCACGCGCGCUACACUGACUGACUCAACGAGUUUACAACCUGUGCCGAAAGGUAUGGGUAAUCUUUUGAAAUUCAGUCGUGAUGGGGCUAGAUUAUUGCAACUAUUAAUCUUCAACGAGGAAUGCCUAGUAAGCGCAAGUCAUCAGCUUGCGUUGAUUACGUCCCUGCCCUUUGUACACACCGCCCGUCGCUCCUACCGAUUGAAUGGUCCGGUGAAGCGUUCGGACCGUGGCCUUUGGACGGUUCGCCGUCUGUUGGCUGCGGGAAGUUCGUUAAACCUUAUCAUUUAGAGGAAGGAGAANUCGUAACA